AGCUGGGCUUUUGAUAUCUGGGGACCUGGGACAACACUCACCGUCACAUCAGCUCAGUCAAGUGCUCCGUCAGUUUUCCCCAUGUUGCCCUGCUGUGACAGCUUUUCUUCCUUAUCAGAAGUCACCAUUGGGUGCUUGUCUACUGGAUACCUUCCUCCUACUGUAGAUGUUACUUGGAAUUCAGGUUCCAUAACUACUGGAAUUAGAAACCCACCAAACAUACUUAGUAGAAACGGGCAAUAUCUCUCAGCCAGCCUUCUGACUAUUUCUACAUCUGACUGGAAAAGUAACAAAUAUACAUGUAAUGUGGAUCACAAGGCCACAGGUGUAAAAAUUAACAAGGAUAUACCAGAGUGCACUCCGGAUGAACCUAUCCCACCUUCCGAACCCACUGUAAAAGUUCUGCAAGGAUCGUGCGGGGAAACUGGUUCAGUUGAACUUGUUUGUGCCAUCAGUGGAUACACUCCAGAUGAAAUUAAAAUACAGUGGCUUUUAAAUGGAAAAGUAACUUCUAUUUCUCCAACAAAUAGCACUCCAUACAAGGAUAGCGAAGGGAAAUUUGAAUCUAGAAGUCAAGUUUCUGUUCCCAAAGAGGAUUGGAAUUCUGGGGACACUUACACUUGUAGAGUUAACCACCCUCCAAGCUCCAGCAAAAACGAAGAUAGCAUCCACAGAUGUUCAGAGUCCUCCACCUCCCAUCCAAAGGUUGUCAUUUUGCCACCUACCCCAAAAGAUUUACUGAUCACCAAGGAAGCCAAAGUUACUUGUAUAGUAGAAAAACUAACAUCUACAGAUUCUACAGAAUUUAAGUGGAAGCGUGAGGAUGGCAAAAGACUUCAGGUUUUCAGAUUUGAACCAGAGGAAGGAUUUGAUGGCACAUACACAGUCAAAAGUAUCCUGAAGAUUUCUGUUGCUGACUGGGAUUCUGGAAAACAGUUUUCCUGUACUGUAUCACACAGUGACCUUCCAGCCCCCAUAGAAAAAACAAUUACAUAUAGAGAUGAGGACGUAACAGAACCAACAAUUUAUUGUUUCCAGCCAGCACCAGAGGAACUUUCUUUGUAUGACUUUGUGGGUCUAACCUGUAUACUUAAACAAUUCAGCCACAAAGAUGUGUAUGUGCAAUGGAAGAAGAAUGGUGUACCUAUUGACGAUACUAAUUACACAAACACUGAACCCGUGCUAGAUGGAGAUGGUGAGACCUACCUUAUGUACACCACAGCCCUUAUUAGUAAAUCAGAAUGGAACAGAGGAGCAACAUAUACCUGCUCAGGCGUACUCAAGAAGAUAACUUCAAAAGAAAUAAAGAAAACCAGGGGUAAAUGAUUUUUGUGCGCUAUUUUUUUUUAUAUAUCUGAAGUACUCCCAGUGGCUUACUCUCUUUUUAUCCUUUGUUACCAUUGAAAUUCUACCCACAACCUAUCAUCAUUUUGAUGUGUGGAACAUCAAGCUUUAGUGCUUUAAUGUCAUAAAAUUAAGCAAUUGUUAAGCCAAUGCAGUUUUUGCCAUUUUGAGAUUCGUCAGACUCGUAAUUUAAGAACAGAUAAGAGGAAAUGCUGCCAACAUUGAAAAGUAGACCAAUGACAAAAUCAGCAUUGUAUUAACACUGUGUAUCAAGAUGUCCAACAUGUUCCCUUGUGUAUGUAAUCUCAACUCAUCUUGCAUUUAUUCUUGCCCUAUGUUUCUGGUGUGUGGAACACUGGAUUUAAUUUGUGUUUGUCAUGUCCUGUCAUGUGCUUAUUUCUCAAUAAACUCUUGUAUAACAUAUGUUGCUAAA